UACGAAGGGGGCUAGCGUUGUUCGGAAUCACUGGGCGUAAAGGGCGCGUAGGCGGCCGCCUAAGUCAGACGUGAAAUCCCUCGGCUCAACCGGGGAACUGCGUCUGAUACUGGGUGGCUUGAAUCCGGGAGAGGGAUGCGGAAUUCCAGGUGUAGCGGUGAAAUGCGUAGAUAUCUGGAGGAACACCGGUGGCGAAGGCGGCAUCCUGGACCGGUAUCGACGCUGAGGCGCGAAAGCCAGGGGAGCAAACGGG
rnacentral:rRNA from 1 species